rnacentral:rRNA from 1 species
GAUGAACGCUGACAGAAUGCUUAACACAUGCAAGUCAACUUGAAUUUGGGUUUUUAACUUAGGUUUGGGUGGCGGACGGGUGAGUAACGCGUAAAGAACUUGCCUCACAGCUAGGGACAACAUUUGAAAACGAAUGCUAAUACCUAAUAUUAUGAUAAUAGGGCUUCCUAUAUUUAUGAAAGCUAUAAGCGCUGUGAGAGAGCUUUGCGUCCCAUUAGCUAGUUGGAGAGGUAACGGCUCACCAAGGCGAUGAUGGGUAGCCGGCCUGAGAGGGUGAUCGGCCACACGGGGACUGAGACACGGCCCUUACUCCUACGGGAGGCAGCAGUGGGGAAUAUUGGACAAUGGACCAAGAGUCUGAUCCAGCAAUUCUGUGUGCACGAUGAAGUUUUUCGGAAUGUAAAGUGCUUUCAGUUGGGAAGAAAGAAAUGACGGUACCAACAGAAGAAGUGACGGCUAAAUACGUG